UGCUUCGCCAGGAAUCGAACCCGAGCCUCCUGGGUGAGAGUCAAGUAUCCUAUCCACUAGACCGC